UGGGGCGUAGCCAAGUUGGGUAAGGCACAGGACUUUGACUCCUGCAUUCCCUGGUUCGAGUCCAGGCGCCCCAGCCA
rnacentral:tRNA from 1 species